CAAAUCUCUGGGCCCGAAAGGGUCUCAUUUGCGCUUGUUGUGUUUGACAGAGUAAACUGUGACUAAAUAAUAGACAACUUUUAACAAUGGAUCUCUUGGCUCUUGCAACGAUGAAGAACGCAGUUAAGUGCGAUAUGUAGUGCGAUUUGCAUGAAUCUGUGAGUCAUCGAGUCUUUGAACGCAACUUGCGCCCAGCAAUGGGCAUGCCUGUUCGAGUACCACAAACCCUCUGUCUACCACACUUGUGUAGUGGACGCAAUGGGCGCUGCCAGCGGCACGCCUGAAAUGCAGUUUGCAUAGUGGGGCCAUCCUGCGAGUCAUGAACGUCUGCCUACGGUGUCUAGCUUCGGCUAGCCAUCCACUGGGCUGCGCUCGGCCGCGAGUUGGUACCUUUUUUUU
rnacentral:misc_RNA from 1 species